rnacentral:rRNA from 1 species
AUUGAACGCUGGCGGCAGGCCUAACACAUGCAAGUCGAGCGGAGCGGCGGACGGGUGAGUAAUGCCUAGGAAUCUGACUGGUAGUGGGGGAUGAAGUCCGGAAACGGGCGCUAAUACCGCAUACUAUCAGAUGAGCCUAGGUCGGAUUAGCUAGUUGGGGGGGUAAAGGCCUAACAAGGCGACGAUCCGUAACUGGUCUGAGAGGAGGAUCAGUCACACGGGAACUGAGACAAGGUCAAGACUCGUACGGGAGGCAGCAGUGGGGAAUAUUGGACAAUGGGCGAAAGCCUGAGCCAGCCAGGCCGCUUGUGUGAAGAAGGUCUUCGGAUUGUAAAGCACUUUAAGUUGGGAGGCGUUACCAACAGAAUAAGCACCGGCUAACUUCGUGCCAGCAGCCGCGGUAAUAC